UUUGACAUUAGAAAACAAAGCUCCCAUCUACUUCAGGUGCGAUAGAGAAUGGAAGAAGGCCAGGGUCGUUCUGUGACUUCAUCCUACCUCGGGUGGUCCAUCUGUAACACUUUAUGCUGCUGUCUGCCUCUAGGCAUUGUCGCCAUUGUCUUCUCCUCCAAGGCACAAAAUGCUAAUGCUCGCGGGGAAUCAGCUCAAGCAGAAGAUGCUGCGAGGAUAGCCAGGAACAUAAAUAUCAUUGCACUUGUCUGUGGGAUAAUUCUGAUCAUCACUGCCAUCGUUCUCACGACCACGGGAACAAUUUAAAGCUUCAUCAUUUCUUCAGCCCAUGAGCCUCAACAGACCACCACCAGUCUCUGGACUCCAUAGGGGGAUCUAUCUUAGACAUCCCUCGAUUGCAAAAUGAGAGUAUAAGUGCCGAAGACUUUCUGUCAAGACAUCAAUCAUUUGUUCUUCUGUUAUAAUAAACAAUUAUCUUACUUCCUUCA